CAUGCAAGUCGAACGAAGCACUUCAUAAAGCUUGCUUUAAGAAGUGACUUAGUGGCGGACGGGUGAGUAACGCGUGGGUAACCUGCCUUACACAGGGGGAUAACAGUUAGAAAUGACUGCUAAUACCGCAUAAAACAGCAGAGUCGCAUGACUCAACUGUCAAAGAUUUAUCGGUGUAAGAUGGACCCGCGUCUGAUUAGCUAGUUGGCGGGGUAACGGCCUACCAAGGCGACGAUCAGUAGCCGGCCUGAGAGGGUGAACGGCCACAUUGGGACUGAGACACGGCCCAAACUCCUACGGGAGGCAGCAGUGGGGAAUAUUGGACAAUGGGCGAAAGCCUGAUCCAGCGACGCCGCGUGAGCGAUGAAGUAUUUCGGUAUGUAAAGCUCUA
rnacentral:rRNA from 1 species